GACCUUGUGCACCUUGCAGAUUCGGAGAGACUACGCGUGCAGAUUACAGUUCCUGAGAAGCUGCGCUCAGUAACCAGCGAAGGCUUGGAGACGGAAAAGGGCGUUACAUCGAGGGUGCUUACCGGACCAAGCCGAAAAAGUGGACAUUUUUCUUGAUCAUUCCUUUUUUUCAUUAUUUUCUCUGUACUGAUUGCUAUAGUGGUAAAAGUCUAUUUCCAAAGGAAGAAAUGGAGAACGGAAGACUAUAGGGAUCUGCCCGCACGGAUUCAGAGAAAGUGAACACAGAAGAGCUGUAGGAAGCUGCAGUUGGUUUUAAACAGCCUUCCCAUGGUCCGGCCAGGCGACAAUAGAUGCAGUAUCUCCAGCAGGCAGAAAGACAAAGAAGAAAAGAUUAAAAGGGAAAAGAUCUCCUGGAUGAUGAUUGCAGUACAAAGCCCUGUCUACACCCUGCAGGUCCCUGCAAACAUUGAACUGCAGCCCUGAGCUGAAUGGCUGCUGCUGCCGGCAGGGACUGCACUCCAUAAAUCCGCAUCAUGACGAAGGGUGACUCCUGGGUCAUCCAUUCAUCAUGACACAGAAGGCUGCCGCUGAUUCUCCACUGUAACAGGACCUCACAAACGGGUCGGUGUUUUAAUUAACAAGACAGCACGGCUUACUUGUCUGAUGAGCGCUAAUGAACUUUAAACACUUCAUCAUAUUUUAGAGAGAAUGACCUGACUGAAUAGGACCAGGGAGUAAUCGUGAAAUAUCCCUCAAAGUGGCAACAGUAAGAACAUGUAUGUUGCAAAAAAGAAAAUGUGUUCAGUUCCUGGGUGCAAAUGAAAUGCAAGGAAAUUCGUUCUCAUGGAUGAGCAAGUCUGGGAGGGGUAAAGAUCUACACACAAGCUCUGCAGUGACUGCUGGAGCAGAACAUUGAUUUCCUCGUUGAUGAAUGUUUUUUGAAAAAUUAAGACUCAGCAAUGAUUUAAUAAGCUGAGUCCUUCAGAGCAGAAGAAAUAAUGAACCCUGAACCUCAAUCAUCAAACAGCAGCUACCCAGAUCAAAUCAACUGAUGAGCACCAUUUUUGCUGAUUUUUAAAAAUUUCUUCUGAUGUAAUUUGAUUUUUCCUUGGUAAGGGUAAUUUAUGUUAUUGAUGUGGACAACUUAGGGUGUAGUGGAGCACUUGGUUCUAGGG